rnacentral:rRNA from 1 species
CAUGCAAGUCGAACGGUAACAGGAAGAAGCUUGCUUCUUUGCUGACGAGUGGCGGACGGGUGAGUAAUGUCUGGGAAACUGCCUGAUGGAGGGGGAUAACUACUGGAAACGGUAGCUAAUACCGCAUAACGUCGCAAGACCAAAGAGGGGGACCUUCGGGCCUCUUGCCAUCGGAUGUGCCCAGAUGGGAUUAGCUAGUAGGUGGGGUAACGGCUCACCUAGGCGACGAUCCCUAGCUGGUCUGAGAGGAUGACCAGCCACACUGGAACUGAGACACGGUCCAGACUCCUACGGGAGGCAGCAGUGGGGAAUAUUGCACAAUGGGCGCAAGCCUGAUGCAGCCAUGCCGCGUGUAUGAAGAAGGCCUUCGGGUUGUAAAGUACUUUCAGCGGGGAGGAAGGGAGUAAAGUUAAUACCUUUGCUCAUUGACGUUACCCGCAGAAGAAGCACCGGCUAACUCCGUGCCAGCAGCCGCGGUAAUACGGAGGGUGCAAGCGUUAAUCGGAAUUACUGGGCGUAAAGCGCACGCAGGCGGUUUGUUAAGUCAGAUGUGAAAUCCCCGGGCUCAACCUGGGAACUGCAUCUGAUACUGGCAAGCUUGAGUCUCGUAGAGGGGGGUAGAAUUCCAGGUGUAGCGGUGAAAUGCGUAGAGAUCUGGAGGAAUACCGGUGGCGAAGGCGGCCCCCUGGACGAAGACUGACGCUCAGGUGCGAAAGCGUGGGGAGCAAACAGGAUUAGAUACCCUGGUAGUCCACGCCGUAAACGAUGUCGACUUGGAGGUUGUGCCCUUGAGGCGUGGCUUCCGGAGCUAACGCGUUAAGUCGACCGCCUGGGGAGUACGGCCGCAAGGUUAAAACUCAAAUGAAUUGACGGGGGCCCGCACAAGCGGUGGAGCAUGUGGUUUAAUUCGAUGCAACGCGAAGAACCUUACCUGGUCUUGACAUCCACGGAAGUUUUCAGAGAUGAGAAUGUGCCUUCGGGAACCGUGAGACAGGUGCUGCAUGGCUGUCGUCAGCUCGUGUUGUGAAAUGUUGGGUUAAGUCCCGCAACGAGCGCAACCCUUAUCCUUUGUUGCCAGCGGUCCGGCCGGGAACUCAAAGGAGACUGCCAGUGAUAAACUGG